rnacentral:misc_RNA from 1 species
GUGAAUCAUCAAAUCUUUGAACGCAAAUUGCACUCUCUUCGGAGAGUAUGCCUGUUUGAGGGUCAGCCUAAAAAAAAACCAACAAAGCGGUUUUUUCGCGGUGACUUUCGUCGGAAAUGGGUUAAUCUUAAACAUUUGGGUUUUAAUCGGCUAAAAUUUUUAUUUACAAUUCCUUGACCUUUUCUAAAAUU